GCUGGCGUAGCUCAAUCGGUAGAGCUCUCGGCCUGUACCCGAGACGUUAGGGGUUCAAUUCCCGACGUCAGCUCCA
rnacentral:tRNA from 1 species